UAGCUUUGUUUUUCUGCUUUAGCUUGACUUGGAACUUGCACAUGAACCCUGUGUUCUGCCCACCCCCCCACCCCCCGCGCUGUGCUGCCACAUCUCAGCUCCCUCAGGAGUUCUCUCUCCCCCCCCCAACACACACUUCUCUGUCCAGGGCAGCCAGCACAAAAAGGAAAGCAAGCAGCCCUAAAAUGCCCAGAGCUCCCCAUGCCUGCGUAGGGAGGGAAGGACUGAUUGGGAUGUGUGGGCUGGCUCUCUUCUGUGAACCACAGUCCAUCGGUGGUUGUCAAACUAACAGCAACAAAAAAGCUCUCUCGCUCUCCUCCUCGCUUAUGUGAUUUGUGAUUAGUUGGAGGAAAAACCCAGACUAAUCCAGUGGGAACACUCAGGAAAAAGAUCUGCCAGGGGUUGCGGAAAAUAGCCAAGCCUAUGUGAACUGUCCCCUUUAAAUCCCCAAAUUAAACAUCUUGCAAAUUUGCUGCAAAGCAGAUACUCUCUUCAGAUACCCUGGGGCAUGAAGGCAUGUGUGAAUAACUCCCUAGCUCUUUGGCAAAAAUUGGUCUUUAAGCAGUAGGCUCUCUGGCAGCAUGCCCCUAGGUUAAAAAGACAACAGACCAACGCAGGACGCCUCUCCCUAAUGAGGAAGCCAGCUAAUAAACCUGUCAAAGCAAAUUGGCUGGAGAGGAGAUCCUCCUGCCUAUAGAUAACGUAUGGAAUGCUUCUUAGCACCAAAAUGGCUACUUCCCAUCCUAUUAAAGUUGAUGACUUGACUAACAAAGAUAAGGGAGAGACGCUCAUAAACAAGUAUCUUUACACCUGGAGACUUUGUGGUCUCUGAGAUAGGUAAACAAAUGCAGACUCUAUUCACCUCACACAGCCACAUUUGCAUAGCUUGCCCUCACCUUUUGUCCAGAAGGACCCAUGUAAAGUGACUUAGUCCAUGUAGCAAUGGACUUUGUUGUUUUACACCCAACUCCUUACCCUCCGGGGUGGGAUAGCCACCGGAUUUGGGGAAUAUGGAGGAGUUGUUGUAUUCUCCCCCCAAAGGUUUUUUUAAAAAAUGUUGUAUAAUCUGUUUCUUGCAACAUUUAUUUAAGAGUGUUACAUAGGGUAUGUUUUUAGAUAUAAAUACCCCAGCCAGACCACCAUGGCCUCAGACUCUGUUUGGAUCUGGCAAUCCAAUGGACUCUCAUGCUGCAAGCUGCAACUACUGCUGCCUCGCCUCCUUAUCCCUGCUUCUACCCUACACUUUACUCAAAAGGAGGCACAUCUGCCCAGCCAUCGCACAACCUAACACACCCAGGAAGGAUCAGUGGUGAUAACUUCUCCAGCCGUUUAUCUCUAAGCCUUCUCACCUCUUUCUCUGCUUCUUUCCCCACUCUUCAGGCAUUGGUUUUGCAAGCCUCUAAGAAGGCUCUCAUUAGGACUUUAGCAAAAUUACCACAAGCCUCUAAUUAGGAUACUCAUUCAGAAUGCUUGCCAAAUUUUUGAAUUGCCAAACCAAACUCUCUUUUUGCCUUCUGUAACCCCUAUUUUUACCCUAGCAAAGCUUUAAAAUGUACCUGUGUCUCCUCAUCCUUUUCCAAAUACACCAGAACUGCUUUGAUACUGAAACCAAACUACUCCCCAAUCUGAGCUAAUUGCCCCACUUUAGUCAGAAGCAUAGCUGGAGCACCAUAGCCAAUUGCUCUGGGGCAGUUCUGGUAAUAAUAUGUAGCACAUGACUAGAUACAGGAAGUCUUUGAUAGGGGUGUGCACAAAAUGACCUGGCAGUUUGGUUCGAGUUCAGAACCGGACCUGGCCACGGGUUCGAGUACCAGUUCUGUCAAACUGGCCGCUGGUUCGAUUCAAAUUCAAAACGGGGUCAAGCUGGUUCAAACUGACUCUGCCAUAGAGAAUAAUGGGAAUUUUAACUGGCCCAUUAUUCCCUAUGGGUAGCUCCUAGGAACAUCAAAAUGGAUUGGGUGGUAAGUCAUGAUGGAUGCUACCUACCACCCAACCCACAAUGUAAUCAGGCAUUUUUUAAUGAAUUUUUGAAUUUUUUCAGGGUCAUCAGUAGACCAACCGUAAGUUAGUAAGUCAACCCACCCACCCCGGACCUCUAGGGAAACUUGGGUGACAUGGGGAGUCGGCCCCUCUUGCCACCCUUGCCCCAAACCAGCAUCACCCCUCUCUCUGCCUGUAACCCUGCUGCUAGCCCUGCCCUGCCUCCUCCCCGACAUUCCUUUCCCCAAACUGGGCCCUAUUUUAAAAGGGAUGAACUAAACACCAAAACACCACCAAAAGCACAAAACACCAACAAAGACUGAACCUAAAACUUACACAAACCAUGAAGACAAACCAAAAGUGCACCAAAACCACUACUCAACCUAAAAUUAAACCUUAAACCUAUUAAUAAGACAGAAAACAGCAGCACUAAAAAAAAACCCCAAGUUAAUAGCACUCCAAACCUAACCACACAAAAAUUAAAGCACAAACCUUCCUAAGCUCUAAUUGUAAAAGAACCAAACUACAAAACCAAUCAACCAGGAAAAAAAAUACAAAAUAGUGCGUGGGUGUGGGGGUGUUUCACCAAUCCGACGCAGCGGCAAGGCAGGCAAUCCACAAGGGCAACCCCCACCAAAAGGCAGACAGUAAUCCCACAGGGAAGGGUAAUUUUUUUAAAAAGGCAGGCAGGUAAUCCACAGAAAAAAGGAAGGUGGGUAAUCCAGAGGUCAGGGGUCCAAAGGGGUCAGCAGAGGUCUGCAGGCAGGUGCAACAGAGCACAUCUGGGUCUGCCAGAGCAGCAGUGCAGGUCAGGGUCAGCCAGAGAAGCAGAGCAGGUCAGGGUCAGCAGAAGCAGGGGUCGAGGUGGCAGGGGGUCCGCAGCAGCACCAAGUCCACAGUCCAAGGCACGGCAGCAAGAGCAGCAACCCAGCAGUAGCAGCAAAAGUCAGCAGCAGCACAGCCAGAGCUCUUCCUUGGAAACUUGAGGAAGAGUAAGCUUGAGCCAGAAGUACCAGGAAGUACUUGGUGCGCAUGAGCACGCUGAGUGUGCGUGCUCACACACAUGUUGUGCUCACUCGUGCACACAUCAGGUGCCUGGCAUGCGCACGUGCACCAGGUAUUUCCUGGUACUUCCUGCCAAAGAGGAAACGGGGCAGCAGGGAGUUAUGCUGCCGUGCCGACGGGUGGGGGAUGUGGAGGGAGGGAUAAGUGCACCCUCCCCCACCCUAAAAGUUAUCCCCCCGCCUUCGAAUUUCCCCCACUCGGUUCCAUGCACAUCCCUACUCUGAACCUUUUUCCCCAUGCAAAACAUUAUAAAUAGGGGUUUGGUUCCUAAACCAAGGUGGGAUACCCUAUUUUUUUCCUGCUGUGAUCAAAGCUGGUACAGUGUUUGUUACAGACGUGCUGACAAGCAACAUUCCAGUCCCUUCCCCACUCUUUCUCACUGCUGCUGGUGUCUACCUUAUAUUUCCUUUUAGACUGUGAGCCCUUUUGGGACAAGGAACCAUUUUAUUUAUUAUUUAUUUUUCUGUAUAAAAACAAUUUUUGUUGUUAAUAAGCAGUAUAUAAAUGUUCAUAGUUGCAGUUGUGCUCUGUCUUUGCAGUUUGUUGAAAAGUGGUACAGUUGAACCUUGAUAUGUGCAGAUUUGCAUAUCCACGUUCGGGUAAUAGACACUCAGCCUCGGCAUAUGUGGAAAGAAAAUUGGGGAAAACGCCGUCCUCAUGUAUCUGCGGGUCGGGGUGGCCGGAAAUGACUGCAGAGAUCAUUUCUGGCCACCAUUUGUGUUUCAGGUCCUCAAAAUGGCUCCAGUUUUGUUUCAGAGCCUCGAAAUGGCCCCAGCCUUGGCCGUUAAUCUGUGUUACCAACAUCCACACAAGAAUCCAUAAAAUUAGGUCAUUAGAGAUACCAGUGUAAUCUUUUAAUAUCUAAGAAGAUAUUUUCCACCAAAAGCUCAGGGCAUGGUCUAAAAGCAUAUGAUGCAGCAACCUUGCUAAAACUAAGCAGGGCUGAGUCUGGUCAAUGCCUUGAUAGAGCACCACCUGGGAGCCCUACAUAUGCUGCUUUGAGUUCCAUAGCAGAAAGAUUGGAUGAAACAAAUACAAAUAAAUAAAAGGUACAAAAACUGAGUAAUAUUCAAAGCAGCUUUUAAAAUUAUUAUCUUUGCUCAUGAGAGUAUUUCCAUAUGCAGCUUUGAUAACACAUGUCUAUCAAGCUAGGCACACCGGAGGGUCUGAUCUGAGGGCCUGAUGACAGCUCUGAUGGAAGCUGGCGGUAACUGAAGAACUUUAAGGCUGCAGGAACUCUGCCCCUUCCUGGACUGCUAGGGCAGCCUUCCUCUUGAAGCAAACAAGCUUGUUUCCCCUUCCUCCCAAGGAGACCCAUCAGGAGGAAGCCAUAAUCUAUUGGGCUGAACUUCUUUACCACCAGAGCAUAUACUUUUAUGUGAGGAAUUUAAUGUUUCUCCAGACAAUGGGAAAUACAGGAAAGCAAAUGGGAAAUUUUUAUAUACUGCCACAGUAACAAGACCAGACAUUGCUGCAGCUGUGGGAAUUUUAAUCAGGAAAGUGAGUAUGCCCACCAAAAAUGACUGAAUUGCAGUUAAAUUCAUUACAGGCAAGGUAGAUGACUGGAGCACAAAUUGCUGCCCCCAGACUCUGGAAUGCUCUCCCAGUGGCCAUUCGUUCCUCGGACUCCAUCACGGCUUUUAGAAAGCUUGUAAAGACUUGGCUUUUAACCCAGGCUUUUACAUAAUCGUUUUUACUGCUGCUUCUGGGUGUUUUUAUUUGUUGUAUUGUUUUAUGCCUGUUUUUAUAUGUUUUUAUACUUUUAGCAUGAUGUUUUUAUUGUGUUUUUAUUCUAUGUUUUUAACUUUUGUAAACCGCCUUGGGGCUAUCUUUUAACGAAAGGCGGUAUAAAAAUGCAAAAAUAAAUAAAAAAUAAAUAAAUAUUAAGUUGAACAACA